AAGCACCCUUCGAUGAAAUUAGAGGAGAAUGGGCUACUUUUGUGCUACAACUAAUCAUGAAUCAUGUUAAUGCAUCAUGAUCACCAUGCAUGGUGAGUCCCUUAGCUACUACAUGAAUUUUUCCAUAGGUAUACACUCUUGGGAUGGUGAAAUGGAGAAUAAAAAGAAAGAAGAAGGCAACAAGAUUUUGGGUUUUUAAAUGCAACUCUUAUGUUAUACGUUGUAGGACAUAAACGUUACUUUAAUUGCAACUGAGAAAUUUAGAUUUUUAGAUGGGACUUUUAUGUCA